CGCGGGGUGGAGCAGCCCGGUAGCUMGUCAGGCUCAUAACCUGAAGGUCGUAGGUUCAAAUCCUACCCCCGCAACCA
rnacentral:tRNA from 1 species